GACGUAGUUUCAUGGUUAUCACACAAGUCUAACACGCUUGUGGUCCCCGGUUCGAGCCCGGGUGAUAUCA